CCUACGGGUGGCAGCAGUGAGGAAUAUUGGUCAAUGGACGAGAGUCUGAACCAGCCAAGUAGCGUGAAGGAUGACUGCCCUAUGGGUUGUAAACUUCUUUUAUAUGGGAAUAAAAUGGUCCACGUGUGGGUUUUUGUAUGUACCAUAUGUAUAAGGAUCGGCUAAGUCCGUGACAGCAGACGCGGUAAUACGGAGGAUCCGAGCGUUAUCCGGAUUUAUUGGGUUUAAAGGGCGCGUAGGUGGAUUGUUAAGUCAGUUGUGAAAGUUUGCGGCUCAACCGUAAAAUUGCAGUUGAAACUGGCAGUCUUGAGUACAGUAGAGGUGGGCGGAAUUCGUGGUGUAGCGGUGAAAUGCUUAGAUAUCACGAAGAACUCCGAUUGCGAAGGCAGCUCACUGGACUGCAACUGACACUGAGGCUCGAAAGUGUGGGUAUCAAACAGGAUUAGAUACCCCAGUAGUC
rnacentral:rRNA from 1 species